GAUGAAGAACGUAGCGAAAUGCGAUAAGUAGUGUGAAUUGCAGAAUUCAGUGAAUCAUCGAAUCUUUGAACGCACAUUGCGCCCUUUGGUAUUCCUUAGGGCAUGCCUGUUCGAGCGUCAUUUACAAAUUCAAGCUCAGCUUGGUGAUGGGUGUCUGUCCCGCCUUUGCGCGUGGACUCGCCUCAAAUGCAGUUGACAGCUUAUCCCUCGGCUCUAAACGCAGCAGAUUUGCGUCGAGCGUCGUGUGGACGGGCUCUCCAGUAAGCAAACCCCCCAAAAUUGACCUCGGAUCAGGUAGGGAUACCCGCUGAACUUAAGCAUAUCAAUAAGCGGAGGA
rnacentral:misc_RNA from 1 species